GAGGACAUAGCUCAGUGGUAGAGCGCUUGCUUAGCAUGUACAAGGUCCUGGGUUCAACCCCCGGUACCUUCA
rnacentral:tRNA from 1 species